AUGAACGCUGGCGGCGUGCCUAAUACAUGCACGUCGAGCGAACAGACGAGGAGCUUGCUCCUCUGACGUUAGCGGCGGACGGGUGAGUAACACGUGGAUAACCUACCUAUAAGACUGGGAUAACUUCGGGAAACCGGAGCUAAUACCGGAUAAUAUAUUGAACCGCAUGGUUCAAUAGUGAAAGACGGUUUUGCUGUCACUUAUAGAUGGAUCCGCGCCGCAUUAGCUAGUUGGUAAGGUAACGGCUUACCAAGGCGACGAUGCGUAGCCGACCUGAGAGGGUGAUCGGCCACACUGGAACUGAGACACGGUCCAGGCUCCUACGGGAGGCAGCAGUAGGGAAUCUUCCGCAAUGGGCGAAAGCUUGACGGAGCAACGCCGCGUGAGUGAUGAAGGUCUUCGGAUCGUAAAACUCUGUUAUUAGGGAAGAACAAAUGUGUAAGUAACUAUGCACGUCUUGACGGUACCUAAUCAGAAAGCCACGGCUAACUACGUG
rnacentral:rRNA from 1 species